GAUGAAGAACGUAUUGAAAUGCGAUAAGUAAUGUGAAUUGCAGAAUUCAGUGAAUCAUCGAGUCUUUGAACGCACAUUGCGCCCCCUGGUAUUCCGGGGGGCAUGCCUGUCCGAGCGUCAUUGCCGCCCUCAAGCACGGCUUGUGUGUUGGGCCCCCGCCCCCCGGCUUCGGGGGGCGGGCCCGAAAGGCAGCGGCGGCACCGCGUCCGGUCCUCGAGCGUAUGGGGCUUCGUCACCCGCUCUGUAGGCCCGGCCGGCGCCCGCCGGCGACCCCAAUCAAUCUUUCCAGGUUGACCUCGGAUCAGGUAGGGAUACCCGCUGAACUUAAGCAUAUCAAUAAGCGGAGGA
rnacentral:misc_RNA from 1 species